GACGAACGCUGGCGGCGUGCCUAAUACAUGCAAGUUGAGCGCUGAAGGUUGGUACUUGUACCAACUGGAUGAGCAGCGAACGGGUGAGUAACGCGUGGGGAAUCUGCCUUUGAGCGGGGGACAACAUUUGGAAACGAAUGCUAAUACCGCAUAAAAACUUUAAACACAAGUUUUAAGUUUGAAAGAUGCAAUUGCAUCACUCAAAGAUGAUCCCGCGUUGUAUUAGCUAGUUGGUGAGGUAAAGGCUCACCAAGGCGAUGAUACAUAGCCGACCUGAGAGGGUGAUCGGCCACAUUGGGACUGAGACACGGCCCAAACUCCUACGGGAGGCAGCAGUAGGGAAUCUUCAGCAAUGGACGAAAGUCUGACCGAGCAACGCCGCGUGAGUGAAGAAGGUUGUCGGAUCGUAAAACUCUGUUGGUAGAGAAGAACGUUGGUGAGAGUGGAAAGCUCAUCAAGUGACGGUAACUACCCAGAAAGGGACGGCUAACUACGUG
rnacentral:rRNA from 1 species